rnacentral:rRNA from 1 species
UUGACCUCAAAUCAGGUAUU